rnacentral:rRNA from 1 species
UUUAAAUGUAAAUAAAAAUUCUAAAUUAGUAUUAGUUAUAUUCUUGAAAGUUAAAGAUUUUGGCGGUAUUUUAGUCUUUUCAGAGGAACCUGUUCUAUAAUCGAUAAUCCACGAUUAAUUUUACUUGUAUUAAUAUUAAUUUGUAUAUCGUCGUAGUUUGAAUAUUUUAUAAGAAUUUAAAUAUUCAUAAUUUUUAAUAAAAAAAGAAAUCAGAUCAAGGUGCAGUUUAUAUACAAGCAGUAAUGGGUUACAAUAUUAGUAUUUAUAUGGUAUAGAAUUUGAAAAAAUUUUAUUAAAGUGGAUUUGAAAGUAAUAAAAUUAAUUUUAAUUUUAUGAUUUAAGCUCUAAAAUAUGC